rnacentral:rRNA from 1 species
UACAGAGGUCCCAAGCGUUGUUCGGAUUCAUUGGGCGUAAAGGGUGUGUAGGUGGCGCUGUAAGUCGGGUGUGAAAUUUCGGAGCUUAACUCCGAAACUGCAUUCGAUACUGCGGUGCUUGAGGACUGGAGAGGAGACUGGAAUUCAUGGUGUAGCAGUGAAAUGCGUAGAGAUCAUGAGGAAGACCAGUGGCGAAGGCGGGUCUCUGGACAGUUCCUGACACUGAGACACGAAGGCCAGGGGAGCAAACGGG